GCAUAGAAACACAGGAAAACCUACGGACACGCGGAGAACGGCGCGCGCGGAAACGUGCUCAGAUACUGUUAUGAGCAGUCGGAGGAGGACACCAAGAACAAGAUUGAGGCUGUGUGGCAGGAAGAGAGUCAUCUCAACAAGGCCAGCUUUGUCUACUCAGGAUAUAUCACCUUAUCUUUCACAAGGUAAGGCUUGUGUAAGACAGAAGCGCAUGUCCCUGCUUGAAAUGAACACAAACUGAACAUUGUAAUAGCUCCUCAUCCCAUCGUGUCUCUGUCCAAUCUCUUCAGAAGGUUGCAUACUGUGGUAAUUUUCUUAUGCCGUUUAAAUGAUUUGUUUAUCAAUUGUAUUCAUUUAACCGACAUAUGAUUAUAUUUUGUUUCCCUGUUAAGUUCAGCCAUGUAAUAAAAUUAUUGCCCCCCAAAUGGAUUUCUAUCUUGGCCGUUGCAGACAAAACUUUGUGUCAAUCAUCAGAAACAAUAAAAGGGCUUGAGUCUUUUUGGCUGGUUACCUCAAAAAUAGUUGGGUCAGCUACGGUAAUGUGAACUGCAGAUAUCCAUCAUAACAAUAUAGUAUGAAUAAAACAUGAACAAUUUAGUCAUUGUGUUUUGCUGUGGUAAAUGUUUAUGAUAUGGUAAAUGCAUGAUAAAACAAUGUGGUUUUGAGACAUUUUAUAGGAAACAAUGGAUGAAAUGUGACUUUGUUUUACGAGAACUCGGGACACCAGCAUUCUUCAUGGCUUGUGUAGACUUUGUACCCGCAUUUUUUUAAUUAUUAUUUUGUA